CCUACGGGAGGCAGCAGUGGGGGAUAUUGCACAAUGGGGGGAACCCUGAUGCAGCGACGCCGCGUGGGUGAAGAAGCGCCUCGGCGCGUAAAGCCCUGUCAGCAGGGAAGAAAAUGACGGUACCUGAAGAAGAAGCCCCGGCUAACUACGUGCCAGCAGCCGCGGUAAUACGUAGGGGGCAAGCGUUAUCCGGCGUUACUGGGUGGAAAGGGGGCGCAGACGGCGAUGCAAGCCAGGAGUGAAAGCCCGGGGCCCAACCCCGGGACUGCUCUUGGAACUGCGUGGCUGGAGUGCAGGAGGGGCAGGCGGAAUUCCUGGUGUAGCGGUGAAAUGCGUAGAUAUCAGGAGGAACACCGGUGGCGAAGGCGGCCUGCUGGACUGCAACUGACGUUGAGGCCCGAAAGCGUGGGGAGCAAACAGGAUUAGAUACCCUAGUAGUC
rnacentral:rRNA from 1 species